GACGAACGCUGGCGGCGUGCCUAAUACAUGCAAGUCGAACGAGAGCGACCGGUGCUUGCACUGGUCAAUCUAGUGGCGAACGGGUGAGUAACACGUGGGUAACCUGCCCAUCAGAGGGGGAUAACAUCCGGAAACGGAUGCUAAAACCGCAUAGGUCUUCGAACCGCAUGGUUUGAAGAGGAAAAGAGGCGCAAGCUUCUGCUGAUGGAUGGACCCGCGGUGCAUUAGCUAGUUGGUGAGGUAACGGCUCACCAAGGCCGUGAUGCAUAGCCGACCUGAGAGGGUGAUCGGCCACAUUGGGACUGAGACACGGCCCAAACUCCUACGGGAGGCAGCAGUAGGGAAUCUUCCGCAAUGGACGCAAGUCUGACGGAGCAAACGCCCGCGUGAGUGAAAGAAAGGGUUUUUCGGGAUCGUAAAAACUUCUGUUGUU
rnacentral:rRNA from 1 species